ACGGCGAGUGAACCGGGAAGAGCUCAAAUUUGAAAUCUGGCGUGCUCAGUGCGUCCGAGUUGUAAUCUAUAGAGGCGUUUUCCGUGCCGGACUGUGUCUAAGUCCCUUGGAACAGGGUAUCAAAGAGGGUGAUAAUCCCGUACUUGACACAAUGACCGGUGCUCUGUGAUACGUCUUCUACGAGUCGAGUUGUUUGGGAAUGCAGCUCAAAAUGGGUGGUGAGUUCCAUCUAAAGCUAAAUAUUGGCGAGAGACCGAUAGCGAACAAGUACCGUGAGGGAAAGAUGAAAAGCACUUUGGAAAGAGAGUUAAACAGUACGUGAAAUUGUUGAAAGGGAAACGAUUGAAGUCAGUCGUGACUGAGAGGCUCAGCCGGUUCUGCCGGUGUAUUCCCCUCAGUCGGGUCAACAUCAGUUUUGUUCGGUGGAUAAGGGCAGCUGGAAGGUGGCACCUCCGGGUGUGUUAUAGCCAGCUGUCGCAUACAUCGAAUGAGACUGAGGAAUGCAGCUCGCCUUUAUGGCCGGGGUUCGCCCACGUCCGAGCUUAGGAUGU
rnacentral:rRNA from 1 species